CUGGGCGUAAAGCGUGCGCAGGCGGAUUGUUAAGCAAGACGUGAAAGCCCCGGGCUUAACCUGGGAAUGGCGUUUUGAACUGGCAGUCUAGAGUGCGUCAGAGGGGGGUGGAAUUCCACGUGUAGCAGUGAAAUGCGUAGAGAUGUGGAGGAACACCAAUGGCGAAGGCAGCCCCCUGGGAUGACACUGACGCUCAUGUACGAAAGCGUGGGUAGCAAACAGGAUUAGAUACCCUGGUAGUCCACGCCCUAAACGAUGUCAACUGGUUGUUGGGGGAGUGAAAUCCCUUAGUAACGAAGCUAACGCGUGAAGUUGACCGCCUGGGGAGUACGGUCGCAAGAUUAAAACUCAAAGGAAUUGACGGGGACCCGCACAAGCGGUGGAUGAUGUGGAUUAAUUCGAUGCAACGCGAAAAACCUUACCUACCCUUGACAUGUCCGGAAUCCUGCAGAGAUGCGGGAGUGCUCGAAAGAGAACCGGAACACAGGUGCUGCAUGGCUGUCGUCAGCUCGUGUCGUGAGAUGUUGGGUUAAGUCCCGCAACGAGCGCAACCCUUAUCAUUAGUUGCUACGCAAGGGCACUCUAAUGAGACUGCCGGUGACAAACCGGAGGAAGGUGGGGAUGACGUCAAGUCCUCAUGGCCCUUAUGGGUAGGGCUUCACACGUCAUACAAUGGUCGGUACAGAGGGUUGCCAAGCCGCGAGGUGGAGCCAAUCUCAGAAAGCCGAUCGUAGUCCGGAUUGUUCUCUGCAACUCGAGAGC
rnacentral:rRNA from 1 species